ACGCACGCUGGCGGCGUGCUUAACACAUGCCAGUCGAACGGAAAGGCCCUGCUUGCAGGGUACUCGAGUGGCGAACGGGUGAGUAACACGUGGGUGAUCUGCCCUGCACUUCGGGAUAAGCCUGGGAAACUGGGUCUAAUACCGGAUAGGAGCCAUUUUUAGUGUGAUGGUUGGAAAGUUUUUUCGGUGUAGGAUGAGCUCGCGGCCUAUCAGCUUGUUGGUGGGGUAAUGGCCUACCAAGGCGGCGACGGGUAGCCGGCCUGAGAGGGUGGACGGCCACAUUGGGACUGAGAUACGGCCCAGACUCCUACGGGAGGCAGCAGUGGGGAAUAUUGCACAAUGGGCGCAAGCCUGAUGCAGCGACGCCGCGUGGGGGAUGACGGCCUUCGGGUUGUAAACUCCUUUCGCUAGGGACGAAGCUUUUUGUGACGGUACCUAGAGAAGAAGCACCGGCUAACUACGUG
rnacentral:rRNA from 1 species